rnacentral:rRNA from 1 species
GAUGAACGCUGGCGGCGUGCUUAAUACAUGCAAGUCGAACGGACAAAAUCAGAAAGCUUGCUUUUUGAUCGAGUUAGUGGCGAACGGGUGAGUAAUACGUAGGCAACCUGCCCCAAAGUGGGGGAUAGCAGUUGGAAACGACUAUUAAUACCGCAUAGGUAAUUGGAAGGCAUCUUCUAAUUAUUAAAGGUGCGUUUGCACCGCUGUGGGAUGGGCUUACGCUGUAUUAGCUUGUUGGUGAGGUAACGGCCCACCAAGGCGAUGAUACAUAGCCGGUCUGAGAGGAUGAACGGCCACAUUGGGACUGAGACACGGCCCAGACUCC